GACGAACGCUGGCGGCGUGCUUAACACAUGCAAGUCGAACGGUGAUGCUCCAGCUUGCUGGAGUGGACCAGUGGCGAACGGGUGAGUAACACGUGAGCAACCUGCCCCAGACUCUGGAAGAAGCGCUGGAAACGGCGGCUAAUACUGGAUACGAAACUGGCCCGCAUGGGCAUGGUUUGGAAAGGUGUUCGGUUUUGGAUGGGAUGGCGGCCUAUCAGCUUGUUGGUGAGGUAGUGGCGGACCAGGGGGACGACGGGUAGCCGGCCUGAGAGGGCGACCGGCCACAAGGGGACUGAGGCAGGGCGCAGACUCGUACGUGCGGCAGCAGUGGGAAGUAUUGCACAGUGGGCGAGAGUCUGAUGCAGCGACGCCGGGUGAGGAAUGACGGCCUUCGGGUGGUAAACCUCUGUCAGCAGGGAAGAAGCGAAAGUGACGGUACCUGAAGAAGAAGCACCGGCUAACUACGUG
rnacentral:rRNA from 1 species